UUUUUACUAAAUAUAAAAAAAUGUUUUAAAAGAUGACUAUCAAUUUAUUAUUAUCCUUGAAAACUCAUUAUAAUAUAAUUUAAUUAAUUGUUUUUUUACUUUUACUUAUAGACAAAAAAAUAGAUGUAAAACAUACAGAUACAGAGACUAAAAAACCAAAAGAACCAUAUUGUAACCGUGAUAUAUACAAUAUGUAUGAGAAGGAAAUUAAUAAAUUGGAUAUAAAGCAUUUAAAACGCUUGCAAUUAUGUAGAGCUAUUCAAGAAGAACGAUAUAAAACAUACGUAUUAAGAUUAUAUAAUCUAAAUUGUGUACCAUUACCCAUACCGUUGUGGGAAAUUGAAAAAAUAGAUAUGGUGUCAUAUAAGAUUUGAAGUUGUGAAUUAAUAAUUUCGGGUAUCAAUAAUAUUACAGGUUUAUCGGAGUUUAAAGAAAUUAGACUAGAUUUAUAAAAGUUUUAUCUUGUUAUUAAAAUUAUUUAACAUAUUGUUAAUUUAACAGUCAUAAUUAUGGAAUUUAAUAAAUCUAAUAAAAUACUAAAUAUUCUUAUAAUAUUCUCUAAUACUAUUAAAAAAUAUCUUAUAGUUAUCAUUUUACACUAUUAAUGUCAAAAUAAACGCUAAUAAAUUGA